UUUUUACGUGAAUGGUCCAAUGUGUAGUAUUAGCUGUUCUCUUGAAACUAAAGAAUUCGCGGUAUACACUCCGCACAGGGACUCUGUCUCGAUAUCGAUCGUCCGCGUCGGACCUCACUUGGAUUAAUUUGGUUCGUAUACCGCCGUAUAUUGAUUAUCUUUUCAGAGUGUUAUGAAUUUUCUGGUAUCUUUAAUUUGAUCUAUGCAGGUCAAGGUGCAGCUUUUUCUAAGUGUAAUGAUGGAUACAGUGUUUUGUGUUGUUUGGAUCGUUUGUUUGAAAAACGGCAUGAAAUUGGAUUGGGUGGUAAUGUUUGUCAGAUAGAUUCCAUGAUAGUCGGGACUACAACAAGACACAUCAGGGAAAAA
rnacentral:rRNA from 1 species